ensembl:snoRNA LOC120093957 small nucleolar RNA SNORA28
AAGCAGCACUCUGUGGCAUAUGAACAAAACUGUUGACAGAAUUUGAGCUUGCUAUAGCAAAAAAGUCUUAACCUAUAGUGUUCUCUUCCUCAUGAGAUAAGCCGGUAAAUAAACUCCAAACAAU